rnacentral:rRNA from 1 species
UACGUAGGGUGCGAGCGUUAAUCGGAAUUACUGGGCGUAAAGCGUACGCAGGCGGCUGUGCAAGACAGAUGUGAAAUCCCCGGGCCCAACCUGGGAACUGCAUUUGUGACUGCAUGGCUAGAGUCCGUAAGAGGGGGGUGGAAUUCCACGUGUAGCAGUGAAAUGCGUAGAGAUGUGGAGGAACACCGAUGGCGAAGGCAGCCCCCUGGGAUGAGACUGACGCUCAUGUAAGAAAGCGUGGGGAGCAAACAGG